rnacentral:piRNA from 1 species
UGAAACUUCAGUACUGUGCCAUCUGGUUC